AACUCCCUCGCCAUCUCAUCCCCACCAAAGCAUUCGACAAAAUUCAACCAGCAAUCCAACGCAAGACCAACCCGAGGAGAUCGACCGAGCUCAAGAUCCGCGAGCGAGAAUGGCGGGCAUGGUGUUCGGCUUGGAGAACCCGAUGAUGACGGCGCUGCAGCACCUGCUGGACAUCCCGGACGGCGAGGCCGGCAACACCGCCGGCGGCGAGAAGCAGGGCCCGACGCGCGCCUACGUCCGGGACGCGCGCGCCAUGGCGGCCACCCCGGCCGACGUUAAGGAGCUGCCGGGCGCGUACGCGUUCGUGGUGGACAUGCCGGGGCUGGGGUCCGGCGACAUCAAGGUGCAGGUGGAGGACGAGCGGGUGCUGGUGAUCAGCGGCGAGCGCAGGAGGGAGGAGAAGGAGGAAGCCAAGUACAUGCGGAUGGAGCGCCGCAUGGGGAAGCUGAUGCGCAAGUUCGUGCUGCCAGAGAACGCCGACAUGGAGAAGAUCUCCGCCGCGUGCCGCGACGGCGUGCUCACCGUCACCGUCGAGAAGCUGCCGCCGCCCGAGCCGAAGAAGCCCAAGACCAUCCAGGUCCAGGUCGCCUGAGCUGAGAUGCAUGGUGUGCGGGUCGAAUCGAAGCAGAGUGUGAGUGAGUAGCGAGUUUCCUGUGAUGAGUAAUGGAUGGUUUGCUGUUUCGUUAAUGGAAAUGGGGAAUUGGGGAUGUUCUCUGGUUUCGCCUGAAUAAAACAUGCGAUUCUCUCGGCCACAUUUUCGAUUGAAAAAUCCAAGAUACCCGUGUUCAGAAAAUUCAGAAACAUGUAAUUCAGGAAAACUGGAUAAGACCACAACAUGUGGAAUAGCAAAAAUUAGGUGGAAAACGAACUAGCUCUGACACCAGGGAGAAAAAUCCUGGAUGUCUUGCAUUUUCAUCUUGACAAAUGGCUGCCUGGGAAGAUAGAAAAAAUAAAUUCUAAUUAGAAUUAAGAAUUCAGAAAUGUUAUUCUGCUUUGCGUGAAAGAAACAUGUGACAAUCUUUUUUUCUUGCACAAGAAACAUGUGAGAAUCUCCAAAUUCGAUUAAUCGAGGUAUGAGGAUAUGUGAGAUAACCGAUUCAGUGUAUUAUGAACUGAUUUUCAAAUACAUUUAUUUUGACACAACGAAAAAUAAAGCAGCCAUGAUUGUGUGGGGGCUAAAAGAGUGAUGUGUUAUAUGCACAAACUUCUUUAUCUUGACAGAACUUGGGAAAUGCCGUGGUACUCUCGGGUGUGAGUACAUAUGUGGGAGGUAAUUCCAAACAAAAACAUAAAAAAUCUGAAACAUUUUCAAAAACAAAUUUGACCUUCUGUUAUGCCAAGAAAAAAAAAGGUCCCGUCAACUUCGGAAAAUAAAAAUCAGACGACGAAAAACGUGAAUAAUAACUUGUAUAUAUUGUUGAUCUUUUUCACCGAAAAUAUUGUGAAAGUCAUUUCCCGUGAAAGCAAUUUCUUGGCCAAAGUUUUUAUACAAAUACAACGAGAGUAGGACAUUUUGGAGACCAAAUCCAAUAGAGGCCUUAGUUAAAAAAACAUUUUUUAAUUUAAAAAACUAAAAAAUCAGUAUGCUUGUAUACAAGGAGUCAAGGAUAUAAUGUGUAUGUGUGUAAAAAUAUAGGAUGAUAUACCUUAAAAUUUGAGCUUCACAAAAAAGGUGACGGCCUUUGAGGAUCAACAAUACAUAUGCUAAAAAUGCACAAAAUUGUCUUUUUUGUAGCCAUCAUAUUUGACCAGAAAAUUAACACAAAUGUAUAUUAUGUCUCUAGGUAUAUGUGUAUUUUUUCAGAAUUUUUUAAAGCUGGAAAGUUUGAAUUUCAAAGUUUUCAAAUUAAGACCUCCAUGGAGCUCGGGCUCCAUUUGAAAUUUUCAUACAACAGAAGGUCAACUUUGUUUACCAAAAUGUUUUGUCUUUUUUGACUCUUUUUGGAAUUACUAAAAAAAUAUCAUAUCAGGUGCACUUGCACCCCAGAGCUGGGACAAGCACCUUUGGCUCUCGGGUGUAGGUGCACCCUAUAUGGGAAGAAAAAUAGCAAUUUUGAAAAAAGUGAUAAAUUAGGAAACUUUUUGUUAAUGAAUGACUUUCAUUCUAUUCUAGGUGGAAAAAUCAGCACUAUAUACAAGCUAAUAUUCAUGCUUUUGUCCUUGAUUUUUCUUUGCACUAAAGGCGACGGGAGUUUUUUCUUAAUGAAACUUUUUAAACAAGUACAAUUGAACGUCAACUUUGUUUCUAAAAAUAUUUAAGAGCUUUUUGACCUUUCCUGGCCCCAUAUAGGUUGCACCUACACCCAAGAGCCAAAAGGUAUUUCUUCGGAUUGAAAAUGAUAUUUACAGAAUUAAAGAGUUAAUGCGUGUCUGAGCGAGCUUUUGCUAGGGCAGUCCAAUAUGAUGGUGACUAAUGGGUUUUUUCACCACUCCCCACAAAAGGUGUAAUUAGAGCUUAGCCUCAAACUAUGUUACCUUUUUUUCUCUGCUAAUAGAAACAAGAGUGGUCCUCGCAGUUUGGAAACAAGAAUGGUCUUAUUAAUAGCAAGGUGUACCUUAAGAAAAUUGUUUUAAUUCAUUUAUCUUUUCUUAGUGGACGUGAAAUCUUUUCGUGGCCUUUUUCCUGAAUGGCUUUAUUUGAUUUAAUCCCUUUUGCAUAAAAUGUAUAACUCUAUAGUUUUGUGUGCGUCCCAAGCCGAAGGAUGUAAUGAGGGAUUUGGUAAUUUGACAUCUCCCCAAAAGGGCAGAAGUUGUACAAUUUGUGAAAAAACAAAAAAUCACCUAGAGAGGUAUGGUGUGAUAGCUUCCUUGUAUGCUCUUUUUUCUUGGUUCUUGUUUGUAAUCUCCUAUUUCUAUAUGAAACUGUUGGUUCAUAAUCAACCCUUGGAAAAGUCAACAUCCUGAUCUACGAAUUUUAUAGCGAGGGUGUCAUUAAAUUCUUUUGAGACCCUUCCCCUAUAGAAGUGAAGUUAUUUCGUGUAAUUAUAAUUGUGUUUGCUAUUUAUCAGCUGACUGGAAUUUUCAGCCACGUCAGUCAACAUGUGACUGAGAAGUAGGUGAGACGACGCUAAGGCCGAGAUGGAGGUGACACUGCCUGUCGCGGUGUCUCCAAGAUGUAGAGCCAGGUCCUAGACGGAGGCAGGGACGACGCAAGUUGUCAUGGCAUCGUCGACGGAGGACAUGUAGGAUGCUGCGAGUUGUGGGGUUCGGGUGGAGGUGGGUUAGAGGAAUGACCGGCGACGGUGGCGGCGGCUCGGGCUGAUAAGGGCGGUGAGGCUGCAGUGUGGGCGUUCAUGUGUGAUGGCAUUGGGCAUGGAGGAAGAAAAAAGGUUACGGGCCUGUUGGAUGCAUAUCGAACAGUGGAGGGAAAACUGACCGAAGAGAAACCUUUUCGAGCCUGAAAUAGUCGUUCUCAAUUGUAACCUUUGAAACUUGGCACGGUAUUGAAGAACCAGAGUUGCAUGUGUGUUGUAUGACUAAGGCCUUUGUGGCAAUUUUAAGGCCUUUGUUUACUCUAUCUUGAAGACCUUUGUUCUACACGUCUUCGUAUGGAUUUUGAAGAAAUAGAGUUCCAUUGUAUGACAUGUGAAAAAGAAAAGGUGCACAUGAUGAGAUAGAAUCGCACUAUGUUUUUUUUAUCGUGGUCCUUAAACCUACAUCCAAGAUAUACAUAUCUAUUCCCUCCGUUCUAAAAUAGAUGACUCAACUUUGUACCAACUUUAGUACAAAGUUGGGUUAUCUAUUUUGAAACGGAGGGAGUAUGUGGUAAUUCAGAAAUUCAAUUCAGCUCCAAGGAGCACGUGCUCCCGGGCCCAAAAUAAUUUUUGAAAUGUCAAAUAAGUGAAGACAAGAAAUUUAUGUGUUCUUAGUCACAUCCAAAUGCUACCUGUAAAUUUUCAGGGCAAAAGGUUAAGCAAAUUGAACACCAAAUGUUACGCCUAUGUCACCCCAAAUUUGUUUUCCCCGUUUCGCAUGAAAAUUGUCAAGUAUGCUUGCGACACUAACACGAACAUCCAUAAAAAAAAUUCAGAAUUUUUUGAAAACAUUUACUAUUUUUUCACAUUACUGUUCAUCUAAGGGCACAUGCUCCCGGGAGCCAAAACGCCUCUCCCCACCAAACCUUCUCUUCUAUCUGUAAGUAGCUGCUACCUCCAUUUCAAAAUAUAAGAAAUAUAAGACAUUUUGGUAGGCUAGUUUAACCUACCAAAAUGAGGUAGUACUAGGUAGUAUAAUUAUUUGUGUAUCACUACAUUGUCCAAAUCAUCACAUUAUUAUUGCUAAGUCUCAAUCGACUGAGACAUAAGUCUCAGUCGAUGCUAUAUUCAUUCGAUCUUGCGUGAAGAUUUAUGCAAAAAAAAAAAGCUUUUUCUUGUUUCUUCUUAUAUUCUAUGUUACUUCUUAGUCACCUGAUAUCUAGCCACACCCACAUGAUUAUUGUUCUGAACACGUGUGUGGCGCACAAGCAACAUUUACUACUUCCUUCGUUCUAUGAUGUAAGCCUUUUUUUUAAAAAAUGUCUUACAUUAUUACAUCAUGGAACAGAGAAGUAGUUCCGUAGUUCUGUACUAGCUUACCCCUGUGCGGCGGCACGCCGCGCCCGUCGAUACGGUGCGGUUAUAUGGAUUAUGUUUCUUCUAUGUAAUAAGUGUUGUUAUUUUAGGAUGCCAGAUGAUCACAUGAAAAACUAUGGAUGUAGGGAAAAAAAGAUGGAAGGGUGAUGCAUGUGAACAAAGAGGGGAAUAUACGAUGACACAUCUCUUGUAGGGAUGAUUUAUUUUGCCGAACGUGGUGCGAGUCAUUGCCAGAUUAGAUCAUCUGAUGUAGCCUCCCAUUGGAUUAGCUCCUAUGAUAAAGUAGUAAAGAGACGCAAAUAGUCAGACGUAUGUAGUUAAUAAUUUUUUCCUUCUUUCAUACAUUUUUUUACUAUCACCAAGAAAUGACCGAGGCCAAUCUCGUGCACCAUCGCCGACUACUCCAGGGAAGCGAUCGUGUCCAGCGACGCCAGGGACACGUCGCCGGCGGUCACCCAUGCCUUUGAGGCGUCCAAGUGGAACCAGCUCGCUGGCGUGCCCGUCGACCGUCGAACACCUCGCUGUCCCGUGCUGGACGUCGACAAUCUCCACAUGGUAGCGACAAUGAUGCAGUUUCUCGCUCGGCGGAGUAGCAGCGACGGAGGCUGGAUGCAGCUCCUCCCCAGCAAGCCCGGAGGUGCAGCGUGGGGAGAGCCCGCGGGAAGCCACUCUGAACCUUGGAGCGCGGCUCCACAACUCGCGAUGUCCGAGCUUGCUCCGUACUGCACGUCGAAGAAAGGAGGGGCCUAGGAGGGAGGGGCAUGCCCGACGAGGCGGUAAACGAAGCUCCUUUCCAUCCCACACGAGAGAAUCGGAGAGAGGCUCGAUGUUUUGCGCUGAUGCUAUUUCUCGGUGGUACUUCGGUCGAGAUGCGAAAGCGAGUGAUGACCACAGAGAAGAGGAAGGAGAUAUUUAUAGAUGCUUAUGGCGGUGGACGAUUCAACCGGAAUCUUCCGGAAAACACCUCGAUCAUCAUGGGCGGUAAACCGUAGAGGCAUCCAGAAGAAGAAGAGAUAAGGAAGGAGAAGUAAGCAGUGAGGCAGAUAAGAAAGCAACGAAAGCGGUGGAUUGGAUGGGAUGCAUGUAGCGCACAUGCGAGGGAGACAGAAGGAAUGUCCCGUAUCUAGCCUAGAAUCGCGCCCGAGCGGUGCGGUGGCUGUCUUGGCCAUAUCCCUCUGUCGUCUUGUAAUUGGUUGUAGUUGCCCAUCCCGCUGCCUGCUCAUGUGCCUUGUAACUGGACGUAGUUACCCAUCCCCCGAUCACCGCUUCGUCAGACUGCUAUAGGUCGGCCGCAUAUCCAAGCAAUGUGUUCCGAUUGGUCUGCAUGCAUGCGGUGACUAAUUUGCCAACGUUCCUUUGCUAAGCAUCGAUUUGCUUGUUUCUUAUCUGUUCCCGACGACGAAAGCAAAACUAAAAACCAACACGCCACAUGGCCGACUUAAUUACAACAUAAACGGCUAGAAGCAAACGUCAGUAAAGCAAGCACGUUCAAAAAAUUUAGCCGAUGCAUAUACGCCCACACAUGCAUUUGUACACAGCCACAUACCCAAAAAAAAUGCACGUGUCAACAGCCCAAACGCCAAUAGGUUGCUUUCAAGAUCAAACAAUUAUCUGAACCAAAAUCGCUAAAGACACCCAAAUGCACACGGAAAAUGCGAACCAGUUAACAAAAUUUUCAUCGAAGGCCAACGGCCAUCGCGUGAUUCUACAAGGUAAUCCACCAAAAUAAUACACGUGUUGCCAUCCAGCUGAUCAAGAAGUCACUUUCACAUAAGUGGGUAAAAAACCUGGAGGCAAAAACUUUUCGAGAUAUAGUGGUUUUGGUAUAAAAGCCUUUGCCCCUAAAAAAAUAUAUGUAUGCACUUUUUUCACAACGAAAAUCUCUCUAUGCGUAUCCUAGUCCUAGAAAAAGACAUCUCUCUGCUGCACCGAAUGACAUGUGGGCCCAAGGCUACUGCACAACCAAUUCUGAAGGUCGAACCUCUAGGGACGUGUUUGGUUGCCCGCAUGAGGCCCAGCCUGGCCCGGGCGGGAAGAAUUUGGCCCGUUUGGUUUUCUGCAUUCACUGUGCGGCCCGCAUCGCACGAAGCUUAAAGCACGUCCAGGCCAGGCCCAGGGGCAACGCACGAAUCGGCAGUAGCUCGCGAGCCUGGCCAGGACGAGGCAGGGGAGGGCGACGCGCUUCUCCCCUCGUGCGAGCAGGGGAGAUGGCGCGAGCUCGCCCGCGUCGCCGAAAAAUCGGCGGGAGGAUUUCGGCUCACCUCCCGCCGCUCCACCCCCUAUUUAGCCCCUCCCUCACCGCCCCAACUCCCGCCGCCAUUCUUCCUCCGUUCGCGCUUUCCCGCCGACGCGCAUCGGCACCGACGAGCAGGUAAGCGGCGCAUCUUCAUCGGCCGGCUGUCCACGGCGUCGGAGCUCCUUCGCCGGCCGACGUUCAUCUUCCACCACCGUCCCCCCUCGUCCUCAAGCUGCAGCCAUGGCCUCUGUGAAUUCAAUCCCCCUUUCUCUCUGUUCCUUCUAGCUAGAUCUGAGCUGCAGCUAGGGUUUGAUCUAGAUGCAUGGUUGAUUAGUGGUCUGAUCUGUGAGCUGAUAUGGUUGGUUGCUAUGAUGCGGUUACAAUUUGUGGUAGGGCUAGAUGUUCAAGCAUGUGGUAGGCUAGAUUAGUAGUAGAGUUUGAAGUUGAACCUUGUGCUUGUGUUGAAUCAUGCUCAGAUCUGUGAUUUGUAGCUAUUGGUGGUCCAUUUGUAGCAUGCUGUUUGUUUUAGAUGUAUGUUCCUGCUCAUAGAUUGUCUAGUAUGCUUAGUAUGAUAGUGAUGAAGCAUGUGCUUGCUAUGAUAGUGAUGAACCAUGUACAUGUAUGCUCCUGCUUUCAUGGAUUGUCCGGUAUGUUGUGUGCUAUGCUCACUGUUAAUGUGUGCUACGAUUGUAGGACAUGACCACGCAGACGCAAGAUCUUAGUCAGGUCCUUGUCGUGUCCGACAGCCAGUUUGCUCCAUCGUUUGUCGAGGACUCGCAGCCUAUGUCCGAGAUGGCACCUGAUUCAGAGGUGUUCGAGUCUGAUUCCCUCUAUGUGCCAGUAGUGCUCGUUGAGCCAACUACUGUUGCUGCUGCUGCUGCUGCUGCCGCUGCACUCAAGCUAGCAGCAGCAAAGGCAAAGAAGGAUAGUAGGUCGAACAACAUGAAGUGGCAGCCGUUCAUGUCCACGUUCGUGCUGAACAAGAUGUGUGAGCUCAUCUCUAGUGGAGUUAGGACUGACAAGGGCUUCAAGGAGGUGCACUUGAACACCGUUGCGAAGCAGGUGUUCGAGUUCUGUGGGCAAGAGGUGUCUGCCACCCAGGUGUACAACCACCUGAGGAAGUGGAGAAGUCGAUGGAUCCAAGUGUCCAAGCUGAGAGACCUUAGCGGUGCCUCAUGGGAUGAGAACACUUGCUCCAUAGUUCUGGAGGCAGAGCACUACGCCGGCCAUGUCGCGGUUAGCUCACAACCCUCUUCAUUUUCAUACUGUCCACCAUUACCUACUCCUAAUCGCAACUAACAACACUUGUGUUUCAUUCUUAGGACCACCCAAGGGACGCUGAGUUCCUCAACACACUCAUCCAGAACUACAACCAGAUGCAGCACAUCUUCUCCUUCAGGGCUGGCAACUGGGAAGCAUGCCAUGGGCUCGGGGGAGCCUCUUGGUUCUCCCAUGCCUAACUUCCCUGGGACCCCGGACGUCGAGAUCCUUGAUGGCCCUGACAAGCCCCCUGCGAAGCCCUUCGACAAGCCAUUUGACCCCGUUGAUAGGAAGAGGAAGAGAGGAGGCCUGAUGGAGGAGGAGAUCAAUGUCUUCUGCAGCAUGACUGGGGCGGUGAAGGAGGUGGCAACAGCCACCAGGGAGUGCAAGCCCCUCGACGUCCACCCUGACCUGUAUGCCGCUGUCAUGACCCAGGGUGGCUUCAGCGACGAGGCUCUCAUGGCAGCUCUCAGCCACCUGCUUGACAACAAGGCCCAGGGUGUUGGGUACGUUGCCAUGGCCGACGCUCACAGGGUGCUGUGGCUCAGGAGCUGGCUGGGCAAGCACUACUACUAGAGUAGUGCUGCCUGUGAGCGUGCAUGAUCCCCGACGGCGAUGGUGGUGGCGACGACGACGACGGUGACGGUGAUGAUGACGACGUACAUUUUGUGUAGCUAGGGCUCAAAAACUAUUUGAUGGUCUGUAUAUUUUGGUGAGGUGGUAUAUACUAACCCCUCACGGUGACGGUGAACUUGCGGUGGUAGGACGACACCCUCUUUUGGAUGUGGUGGUAGGUUAACACCAAGGUGGUGCUAGGAAGAACUUGCUAUGCCGUAUGAUCAUGCAUGCAUGCUUUACUUCUCUUCUGCUCCAUUGUUGUUUGUGUGCUACUUUGCUUGCUACUUGUGCUCCAUUGAUUUGCUGCUUCAACUCUUGCUGUUGUGCAUUGCUAGGGCAAGUGGUAUGCCGUGUUCAUUGGUGAGAUUCCAGGGGUUUAUAGUUCAUGGGAAGAAGCCAAUGCACAAGUGCCAUCGUAUAGCAACAGCAAUUAUAGAGGGUUCAAGACUAAGCAGGCAGCAGAACAAGCUUACUCCGCCUGGGUGCGAAAGGACGGAGGCAGCAGUGUCGACAGUGCCAAGGUUGGAGUUGUCAAAGUGGAAGCUGCUAAAGUGGAUCGUCAGUUCGGCCUGAAGCUGAAGAACUUCAUCAUCUUCGCCCAGUUCGUCACCAUUACUGUGUUGUGGCGUUGGUGUGCUAGGUAUGGGUAAGCUCACCAACUAGGAUACAAGGUAAGCACAACAUAUACGCCGUAUGCAACCAAACGCCAUGUUCAUGUGCCGCUAGGGCCAAUGCAGCCAACCAGACAAAGUGCACUUGCGUAUUACCUAAUGCAGGGACUAGGAUGCACGCAACCAAUCAAAUUGUAUAUGGCGUAUUAGGACCUGUUUUUUCUUAACCAGAUUGGAUUGAGAAGGGCAUGCAACACGACUGCUAUUCCAAACUGGAACCAAACACGCCUUAGAACUUUCUCCAUCGGUGCCCGAAAGACUCCCCACUGCUUCGCACUCGUUCCACCACCUUUCAGAAGUUUCCAUCACCUUCCAGACUCCCCGCCCUCCCUCCUCCUCGCCAUCGCAUCCCCACCAAAGCAUUCCACAAAAUUCAACAAGCAAUCCAACCCGAGGAGAUCGAUCGAACGAGAAUGGCGGGCAUAGUGUUCGGCUUGGAGAACCCGAUGAUGACCGCCCUGCAGCACCUGCUGGACAUCCCGGACGGCGAGGCCGGCAACACCGCCGGCGGCGAGAAGCAGGGCCCGACGCGCGCCUACGUCCGGGACGCGCGCGCCAUGGCGGCCACCCCCGCCGACGUGAAGGAGCUGCCGGGCGCGUACGCGUUCGUGGUGGACAUGCCG
rnacentral:lncRNA from 1 species